rnacentral:tRNA from 1 species
AUGAGAAAAUCCGGGGUCAAAAUUCUUUCCAAUUCGAAAGUCCCAAAUGAUCCAAGGAAGCGGAAAGAGAGGGAUUCGAACCCUCGGUACAAAAAAAUUGUACAACGGAUUAGCAAUCCACCGCUUAGUCCACUCAGCCAUCUCUCCACGUUUCAAAGCGAAAGGUUUCCGUGA